rnacentral:rRNA from 1 species
GGACUACAAGGGUAUCUAAUCCUGUUCGCUCCCCUAGCUUUCGCACCUGAGCGUCAGUUACCAGCCAGGACACUGCCUUCGCCUUUGGUAUUCCUCCGGAUAUCUACGCAUUUCACCACUCCACCCGGAAUUCUAUGUCCCUCUCUGGUCCUCAAGUUCCGCAGUAUCUCGCCGCCUUGCUCAGUUGAGCCAAGCACUGUCAUGCGAGACUGACGAAACCGCCUGCGUGCGCUUUACGCCCAAUAAAUCCGGACAACGCUCGCCCCCUACGUAUUACCGCGGCUGCUGGCAC